CUGGCGGCACGCCUAACACAUGCAAGUCGAACGCAGUAGCAAUACUGAGUGGCAAACGGGUGAGUAUAAUGUGGGAAUCUGCCUUUUGGUUUGGAAUAACACGGGGAAACCUGUGCUAAUACCGAAUAAGCCUUUACAGGGAAAGUUUUAACGCCGAAAGAUGAGCCCGCACUUGAUUAGCUAGUUGGUAAGGUAAAAGCUUACCAAGGCAAUGAUCAAUAGCUGUUCUUAGAGGAAGACCAGCCACAUUGGGACUGAGACACGGCCCAGACUCCUACGGGAGGCAGCAGUGGGGAAUCUUGCACAAUGGGGGAAACCCUGAUGCAGCGAUGCCGCGUGAGUGAAGAAGGCCUUUGGGUUGUAAAACUCUUUCGUCGGGGAAGAAAAUGACUGUACCCGAAUAAGAAGGUCCGGCUAACUUCGUGCCAGCAGCCGCGGUAAUACGAAGGGACCUAGCGUAGUUCGGAAUUACUGGGCUUAAAGAGCUCGUAGGUGGUUAAAAAAGUUGAUGGUGAAAUCCCAAGGCUUAACCUUGGAACUGCCAUCAAAACUUUUUAGCUAGAGUGUGAUAGAGGUAAGUGGAAUUUCUAGUGUAGAGGUGAAAUUCGUAGAUAUUAGAAAGAACACCAAAUGCGAAGGCAACUUACUGGGUCACUACUGACACUGAGGAGCGAAAGCAUGGGUAGCGAAGAGGAUUAGAUACCCUCGUAGUCCAUGCCGUAAACGAUGUGUGCUAGACGUUGGAAAUAUAUUUUUCAGUGUCGCAGCGAAAGCAUUAAGCACACCGCCUGGGGAGUACGA
rnacentral:rRNA from 1 species